ACCUGGCUGGCUCAGUCAGUAGAGCAGGCGACUGUUGAUCUCAGGAUUGUGAGUUCGACUCCCACAUUGGGUG
rnacentral:tRNA from 1 species